CAGCAGCCGCGGUAAUACGAAGGGGGCUAGCGUUGUUCGGAUUAACUGGGCGUAAAGGGCGCGUAGGCGGGUUUUUAAGUCAGAGGUGAAAUCCCAAGGCCCAACCUUGGAACUGCCUUUGAUACUGGAAGUCUUGAGUCCGGGAGAGGUGAGUGGAACUGCGAGUGUAGAGGUGAAAUUCGUAGAUAUUCGCAAGAACACCAGUGGCGAAGGCGGCUCACUGGCCCGGUACUGACGCUGAGGCGCGAAAGCGUGGGGAGCAAACAGGAUUAGAUACCCCUGUAGUCCCUGUCUCUUAUAC
rnacentral:rRNA from 1 species